GAACAUUUCGGAUGACACAUUAUAUGUGAAUCUUUGUUUUGGAAUUGUACUUCUCCUUUAAACUCUGGGAUCCUUUCAUUUCAACUGAAACAGGGAAACAGGGCAGGGCUGAUUGAUAUGUCAAUAGCCAAUAGCGUUUCAUUUAUAUCUGCUUGGCCACUCGGUAAAGCCGCAUUUGACAGCUUAUGACAGCCACAGUCUAAUAGAUUACCCUCUAGAUUCAAUAUCAAACUCUUACUAAAACAAAACAGUGAUCAUAAUCCCUAAAGUCCGGAGCAGACUGUGCACGCUGCUGCGAUUCACCUGACACAACUCAUAAACCAGACCUUAUUUGCCCCGAUGAAAAGCAUAUUUACACUGUCUGAAUCAUUCCCUAUCACCUACAUUGAGCACUACAUGCCGUUCACAGUACAGAAAAUACUAACACUGUGAACAAGUGACCGAUCUCCGCCGUAGCUUCAAUGUCUGUUUAUAAUGUAGGUGGCGGGUUUCAGAUUCUAGAGUGCAUUUGAUUGGACAGAAAGCUGAAGUGCAGCAUGAUCAAAAUCGUUGAUCCAUAUUGGCGGAAGUGAGAGACUCAUAUAUUCACUCUGGAGUAACCUUACCAGGAGGAGACAGAGAUUUGGAGUUCAUUCAAAGGUAAUGGUUGCAUUCUAAGAAUUUGAGUACCUGCAUUUUACAUGUAGAUAUGUUAGAAGAUGUUUCUCAACUCCAGAAGAGAGACAACUUUUUUUUAUUUUCUUUUUAAAGGGAGAAUGAUUCAGAUGUCUCAAAAGCUAAAACUAAUGUGAAUUACAUAUUGUCUGUUUCCUGACUGUUUUGUAGAUAUUUAAGAGGAAAAAAGAAGUUGAAAGGGAAAGUGUUAUCUAAAACAACAGGGCAAAUGGUACAGAAGAAACUGGUUGAAGUGAACCCAAUUUGCAACUCUUCUUUGCAAAUGACUCUUUGCGUCCUGGGAUGGGACAGCAUCUGGAGCUGAACUGGUUUCUUUUUUGAUUGGAAGUUUUGUUGGACUUACUUGGGACCUUGUUGUUUGGCCAUGUUGGACUCUUCAUGAUGUUGUGAAAAUUCAUCAUAUUUAGAACCAUUUAAUUAUGUUGGUUAACUUGAUGUUUAACUUUGGCUAAAUGUUGGUAGUAUGUUUCAAGUAAAUAUUUUUGUGCCCAAUUUAUUUUGGAAUUCGAAAUUAUACUAAAUGCACUGCU